rnacentral:rRNA from 1 species
GUCUUUUUGAAUAUAAUAUAAAGUCUGAUCUGCCCACUGAUUUUUUAAAGGCCGCAGUAUUUUAACUGUGCAAAGGUAGCAUAAUAAUUAGUUUUUUUAUUGAAAGCUGGAAUGAAUGAUUUGAUAAAAAAAAUACUGUCUCUUUUUUAUUAAUUAGAAUUUUAUUUUUAAGUUAAAAAGCUUAAAUUUUAUUAAAAGACGAGAAGACCCUAUAGAGUUUUUAUAUAAAUAUAUAAUAUUUUUAUUUUUGUUAUUAUUUUUAUUAUUUAAAUAUAUUUUGUUGGGGUGAUGAAUAAGUUUAUUAAACCUUUUUAUUUAUUUAAACAAUUUUUAUUGAAUUAUUGAUCCUUUAUUAGAUUAUUAGAUUAAAUUACCUUAGGGAUAACAGCGUAAUUUUUUUGGAGAGUUCAUAUCUAUAAAAAAGUUUGCGACCUCGAUGUUGGAUUAAGAUUUUAUUUAAAUGUAGAAGUUUAAAUUUUAAGUCUGUUCGACUUUUAAAAUCUUACAUGAUC